CCUCUUCCUAAGAAUCCCCCAACUACCACAUUUAUCCUAGUGCCCAGCACACAGCUAAGUGAGUUGCUGCUGUACUUGAGAAACCUCACAGAGAGGAAGCCAGGGUACACUGGGGACUGACAGUGGUAUACAGACACAGCCAUCCAGGUGAGAAGUCAGGAUGGGAUGGGCGAAGGUAGUGAGGGUGAAGGGGAGGGAAUGGGCCUGGGAGGUGUCCAGGCAGAAUGCUGGGAAGUUGGGGCGAGGAAGGACAAAUGCCCAGUUCCAGCUCUGGUGUGGCAGGUCUGGAUGGAUGUGGAGCAGCUGCCUAUGUACCUCUGAAGAACCCUCACAGGAGGCAGACUAUGGAAAUGAUGUCAGACAAAAAGCACAUUUGAGCAAUUUUCUUAUUUGAGCUUCAAAAUGGGUCAAAAAGCAGCGGAGACAACUUGUGACAAUGCAUUUGGCCUAGAAACUGCUAACGAACGUACAGUGCUGUGGUGGUUCAAGGAGUUCUGCAAAGGAGAUGAGAGCCUCGAAAAUGAGGAGCCUAGUGGCCGGCCAUUGGAAGUCAUCACCGACCAAUUGAGAGCAAUCAUGGAAACUCAUCCCCUUACAGCUACCCAAGAAGUUGCCACAGAACUCAAUGUUGACCAUUUGAUGCUCAUUCGAUUUGAAGCAAACUGCAAAGGUGAAAAACCUCGGUAAGUGGGUGCCUCAUGACUGAGCAAAAAAAGAAAAAAAUUUGUCAUUAUGAAGUGUUGUCUUCUCUUAUUCCAUGCAACAGUGAACCAUUUCUUGAUCAGAUUGUGAUGUGUGAUGAAAAGUGGAUUUUAUAUGACAACGGGCGAUGACCAGCUUAGUGGCUGGACCGAGAAGCUGCAAAGCACUUCCCAAAGCCAAACUUGCACCAAAGAAAGAUCAUGCUCACUGUCUGGUGGUCUGCUCCACUACAGCUUUCUGAAUCCCGGCAAAACCGUUUCAUCUGAGAAAUAUGCUCAGUAAAUCCAGGAGACGCACUGAGAACGGCAAUGCCUGCAGCCGGCACUGCUCAACAGAAAUGGCCCAACUGUCUCCAUAAUGACCCUCGACUGCUGGUCGCAACACCAAUGCUUCACAAGUUGAACAAACUGGCCUCAUCCACCACAUUAAUCUGACUUCUCGCUAACCGACUUCCACUUCUUCAAGCAUCUCGACAACUUUUUGCAGGGAAAAUGCUUCCCUGACUAGCAGGAUGAAGAAAAUGCUUUCCAAGGGUUUGUAGAAUCCCGAAGCAUGGAUUUUUACACCACAGCAAGAAACUUAUUUCUUGUUGGCAAAAACGUGUUGAUUAUGAUAUUUCCUGUUUUGAUUAAUAAAGAUACAGUUGAGCCUA